rnacentral:pre_miRNA from 1 species
CAGGUACUCCCUCCGUUCGGAAUUACUUGUCUCGGAAAUGGAUGUAUCUAGAACUAAAAUACGUCUAGAUACAUCCAUUUCUACGACAAGUAAUUCCGAACGGAGGGAGUAGUUG